UAGGCCACAGCCACAGCAACUUGGGAUCUGAGCUGCAUCUGCGACCUACACCACAGCUCUGGCAACGCCAGAUACUAGUUGGGUUCAUUACUGCUGAGCCACAACGGGAACUCCUAUUGUCAUUGUUUUCAGACUGACUAGGCCCACUGAAGAAGAGAAAGAUCAUUUGAAACUGAGGUGGAUUCAUUUGAAACUGUGACCUUUGUCUGUUUCUUAAUUCUCUCUCUUGCUGUGCACUCUCCCAUGGGUAUAUUCAUGUAGCGGUAUACAGGCACAUGCAAACAUGUUAUUUAAAAGGCCUCAUGACACUUAACAAGGACAACUCUAAGGAGAAAAAAAAAUUCUGCUCUUUGGUCUAGUCUUGUUGAUUUCUUUCCACAGUUUCUUAUCUCAGAGCUCCCAGAGCUAGCAUGUUCUAACAUCCGAAUUAGGUAAGUGUCCCAAAGUCAUUCACCUAUAGAAUGCAGGAAGGUAAUAUAAAUGAGUAAAGUAAUGCCAGGAGCAGUAGAGGCUGUGAUGAGCUGCAGAAUACAACUCAGAGGGGACCUCAACCGUCAGCUCUAGCCAGCCAACCCAGUGCUGCCAGAGCUGCUUAUAUGGGGGGAAAAAUGAAAGAAAGAAAAGGAAGGGAGGAGGAAAAGAAGGAGGGAGGAAAAAGAGAAAAAAGAAAAAGGAAAACGAACAAAACAUUUGGAAUUGUUCUAACAAACGCAGGUCAAACAAAACUUGGCUGUGGGCGAGCCUGGCCCACAGCCCAACACAUUGCUUUAAGCUUCUUCUUUCCCUGUAAAAUUACAUUUGGGUCCUGGGUCAACUUAGGUGGAAUGAAAGAAGAGGAGAAAUCAGGACAAUAGACCCAUAGGAGCCGCAAACCCCCAAGGAAAGGGCAGAAGAAGAGCCAGGUAAGGAAGCUGCUCUCCUCUAGUUUUCUGUUGCCACCAUAACAAAUGACCAGAAAUUUAGAGGCUUAAAACAACCUGAAAUCACUGUCUUUCAGUUCUGUGGGUCAGAAGUCUGACCUGGGAUGCAUGAGGCUCAUGUGGGGUGCUGCGGACUGCUCCUGCCUGGAAGCUCUGGGGGUGGAUCCGUUUCCUUGCUUGCGCAGGUUAUUAGGAGAAUCUAGUCCCUAUGGUUGGAAACUAAGGUUUUGUUUCCUUGCUGGCUGUCAGCCUUUCUUUGCCUGAUUGGAAAAGCCUCCACUCCUUAGUGGCAGACACAAGGCCAUCGACAGCUCAACUGCAGGCUAGGUUUCCACAUUCAUCUCUUGCCUCUCCCCCGCGUGGACUCCAUCCUCCAGCUACACACUUGUCUAAACCGCCCUGCCCUUUCUUCCUCACUGGGUGAUUAGAGACAUCACACGGGGAUGCCUUCUGUUGUCUCCUCUCUCUCCUCGCCCUUCCCUGUUUCUGCAACACGUUUUUCCCCCCAUUUUGGAGAUCUAAGGUAAUAUAAAUAGUAAAAUAAUGCCUGAGGGAUAAUCGGGAGCAGUAGAGACUGUGAUGAGCCUCACCCACUAGACGAUAUACUUGAAUUUUUUAUUGAAGUACAGUUGAUUUAUAGUAGCAUAUAAAUUUCAGGUGUAUAGCAUAGUAAUUCAGGUAUGUACACUCAUAUAUGUACACACACACACAUACAUAUACAAAUUUUUCAGGUUCUUUUCCCUUAUAGGUUAUUAUACAAUAUUGAGUAUAGUUUCUUGUGUUAUACAGUAAGUCCUUGUUUUUUAUCUAUUUUAUACAUAAUAGUGUGUAUUCGUUAUUUCCAGCCUCGUCAUUUAUCCCUCCCCCGCUUCCCCUUGGGUAAGCGUAAAUUUGUUUUCUGUGUCUAUGGGUCUCUUUCUGUUUUGGAAAUAAGUUCAUUUGUUAGACUAUAUACUUUUGUAGGACAGAGGCCAUAACCUAUUUUUCUUCAUACCUCCAGCACAGAGCUCAGUGUCAUGCAGGUAAUAGAUGCCUCAUAAAUAUGCAUUGAAUGCAUGAGCAAAUGAACCGUGCCAGGUGCUGGGAAUGGAGUGGAAAAAACAGAACAUGCAAUUCAUGCCUGCACUAGCCUGACAGCCAAUUAUACCAACCUCACGGUCCGUUAGACUAGACGGUGCUAUUUACCAGGAAAUUAAAUCAGUAAGCAGUGCAAGUGUGACCAGCACAAUAAAGAAAAUAUACCAGACUUCUCUAGUGAAACUUUUCUAUGUGCAGUAAUUCUUGAUGCUUUCAGAACUUUAUACGUUUGAAGGACGCUCACACAACCCAUUCAGACAAAGGGUGACAGAAAGAGGCAAAGGAAAACAGAGCAAGAGAGCCUGAGCGAUCUCCCCUCCACCUUCAGGAGCCUUCUCAGUUCUGUGUGCCCGGGAGUGGCGUAAAUGGCACCUGUUUUCUAUAGCAGUAUGAGAAGACAUCUGUCCUCAUUUGCGGUGCCUCCUACUGAUCUGGGCAUCACUGCAGAGGAGGGGGCCGCUCCUGAGUGCAGCACCCCUGGGGGCCAGCCCUGACCCUGACCCUUACACCCCAACCAGCACUGCAGAUCGUUAGCCAGAAUAAAGGACGUCCACAGUGACCCUCCCUGGGCCUCCCACACUCACAUUAAAGGACACAGGGAAUCAGUAUAUUGCUCCCAAGAGGGAUCCUCAAGGCACUUCCAAUUCAAGAGAUUAGUGGAAAUACUGCUUCCCAUCCUGGAUAGAGACCACAGGCCAGCCAGUCUCAUCCAGAGGCUCUGGCCCACAGCCGCAUCCCUGACCGACAGAGUCCAGGCCAGGAGGCCCUGCUGCCCUUCCUUCAGAGCUCCAGUUUCUCCGUGAGGCAGGCUGGUUCUCAGUCCCCUCUCCACUGCCUAGGGACGUCGGGAUCACCAGCACAUCACCCAGCCUCUCUGAGUGCCGACCCCCUUGGGUGUGAAAUGGCGCUGAUGAUGUCUACCUCACAGAGCUGUUUGGAGACUCACUUGAGCUCUUGCAGGCCAAGUGAACAACGCAGUGCCAGGCACAGAGGUUUGGAAGUUUCUGUGGACAAAUCCUCAAGCUCAGGGAUUCUUUCCUCAGCCAUGUCCAGUCCACAGAAGAACUUGGAACGGCUCGGGCUGGGUCCAGUCGACAGAGGAGAUGGGCUCUGAAGUGACAGCUGAGCUGGUCCAAUCCACGCGACAUAACAGCUUGGCUGUUGCAUUGUCACCCGCUGAAGGAAGUUACCCAUAAUGGUGGCCACCAUGAGAACCAGUCAGCAGGCAAAGGACUUUGUGGAACUGCCAAGAGAUGUGUUUCUUAAGAUGCCUUUCUUCUUCGUUCCACCUGCUGGCACAGGAGCUGGAAGAGCCGCUCACCACGAGGCCCCACGCACAGG